rnacentral:rRNA from 1 species
GGUAAACGGCGGCCGUAACUAUAACGGUCCUAAGGUAGCGAAAUUCCUUGUCGGGUAAGUUCCGACCUGCACGAAUGGCGUAAUGAUGGCCAGGCUGUCUCCACCCGAGACUCAGUGAAAUUGAACUCGCUGUGAAGAUGCAGUGUACCCGCGGCAAGACGGAAAGACCCCGUGAACCUUUACUAUAGCUUGACACUGAACAUUGAGCCUUGAUGUGUAGGAUAGGUGGGAGGCUUUGAAGUGUGGACGCCAGUCUGCAUGGAGCCGACCUUGAAAUACCACCCUUUAAUGUUUGAUGUUCUAACGUUGACCCGUAAUCCGGGUUGCGGACAGUGUCUGGUGGGUAGUUUGACUGGGGCGGUCUCCUCCUAAAGAGUAACGGAGGAGCACGAAGGUUGGCUAAUCCUGGUCGGACAUCAGGAGGUUAGUGCAAUGGCAUAAGCCAGCUUGACUGCGAGCGUGACGGCGCGAGCAGGUGCGAAAGCAGGUC